CUUAUCCAGAGAGACUGAGGGACUAGGCCCUAUGACGUCCGGCAACCCCCAAUAUUGGGAAGGUGCCAAUUCCUGCAGAAUGAUAUCCAUUCAUUCUGAAAGAUAAGG
rnacentral:ncRNA from 1 species